rnacentral:misc_RNA from 1 species
AGACUUUCUCAAUUCCUCAGCCUGGAUGAAGAAGAAAAUAGCCAAGGACAGGAUAAGGACAGAAAUAAAAAGAAAGCAACCUUUAGCAAAAUUUUGUGUAUGGCUAAACCUUCCCAUCAGCCAAAGCAAUAUGAUACUAUUCAAUUCAUAUGAAGCUUCUGUAACCUCCAGGCAAUAGAAGAACAAUUUAAGCCACAAAAAAUUAAUAAGUUAUAGCCAAAAAAAGAAGAAAAAUGUCAUGCCUGUGCAUCAGUUAUCUGCCGU